CCCAGACAGCCAGGAUGUUGGCUUAGAAGCAGCCAUCAUUUAAAGAAAGCGUAAUAGCUCACUGGUCGAGUCGGCCUGCGCGGAAGAUGUAACGGGGCUAAACCAUGCACCGAAGCUGCGGCAGCGAACGUAUCACCCAAGACAAUUUACGGAGUUACGAUUGACGGAGCGAAGCGACGUCAAAGCGUAUAUAAAGUCGAGUUGGCUUAGGGAUACGUUCGUUGGGUAGGGGAGCGUUCUGUAAGCCUGUGAAGGUGGCCUGUGAGGGUUGCUGGAGGUAUCAGAAGUGCGAAUGCUGACAUAAGUAACGAUAAAGCGGGUGAAAAGCCCGCUCGCCGGAAGACCAAGGGUUCCUGUCCAACGUUAAUCGGGGCAGG
rnacentral:rRNA from 1 species